GGGAGCAAUUGAGCCAAUGAGCAUUCUCCUUGCAUACUUGGGCGGUUUCUCCUUGUUUAGACCCUGCUGUGAAGCAUGUGAACAUCAUGUUAGGAGUAAGGAAGGAGGCAAGUGACUACUGUAUACUCUUCUAGCCGCUUACCAAAAACUCCAUAGACAGAGCAGAGCCAGACCAUGUAGGGAAGAUGGGCCAAUUAUUUGCGCCAAUCAUAUGUAACAUCGAAACGGCGGAUACAGUGCGCAAAAUCUAUGCGGCAAUAGUAGUAAACCUAAUAGUCGGCGAAAGAAGAUGCUUCAAGGAGUCUCUAAGUGAGAAAUGGAAACUUAUAUUCAGUAGAAGAAACAUGCUUCAAGGAGCUACCUGCCUAGGAUGCUUGGGUAGUGAUGGCGGUGAAAGCCAAGGGGAAGCAGAGCACACAGGUAUGGCGUAUCAUCAUCUCUGAACACGCAGAGGUGUAUGUCUGUAUGCCAGGGGAACUGGAAAAGCAGCUGGGGUGAAGAUGCUUGGGUUCUGCAUUUCGGAGAGAGCAGCUUGGCGGAGGUGCUUGGAUUUCUGCGUUUCUCCGAGCCUUGCUCUUGUUUUCUUCUCUAGCUCUCCUCUCCUCCUUCAGCACGGCGGGCGUGGGUUUGCCUCUGGAUUCUGGGACAGUGUCCAGAGCCGUACCGCGCGCAGUCUGGCGAUUUCUUGCAGCAGCAGUCGCAGAGAGCAAUUCUCGGAAGCUCGGGAUCUGCGGGGUGCGUUUGGUCAUAUUGUUUGUGUGCUUCUUCUUCUCCUCCCUUUUUUCCUUGAAGAAGAUGCACUGGCUGGCCGUGGACAUGGGCAGUGCUCAGCUGUGGUUGCUUUCAGUACAGAGCAGUGGCUACCACCGGGAGAGGACCAAUGCUGGCGGUCACGAGACGCCAACUGGGUCAAGAUCUUGGUCCAAUCUGAAAAAUAGCCAAGUGGGUACUGUUUGCCCAAGUCAGGACAUUUUGGCAGCGUGUAAAUUGUUCUUUGCUCCCAAUCCCAAGAACUUACUGGACUAAUUUACGCUGCCUAAGCAUAUUUGCAGCGGGGAUCUGCAUUCCACCC